GUAUGUGUGUAUUAUUUUUCUCACAUUAUCCUCAAUUAUGUUCUGUCACAACUGAAUAGAUAUAGUUCCCUGUGCUAUACAGCAGGAUCUCAUUGCUUAUCCACUCAAAUACAAUAGUUUAUAUCUACUAACCUCAAACUCCCAGUCCAUCCCACUCCUUCCUCCUCCUCCUUGGUAACCACAGGUCUGUUCUCUGAGUCCAUGAGUUUGUUUCUUUUCUGCAGAUGGGUUAAUUUUUCCAGAUAUAAGUGAUAUCAUAUGGUAUUUGUCUUUCUCUUUCUGACUUACUUCACUUAGUAUGAGAAUCUCUAGUUGCAUCCAUGUUGCUGCAAAUGGCAUUAUUUUGUUCUUUUUUAUGGCUGAGUAGUAUUCCAUUGUGUGUAUAUACCACAUCUUCUUAAUCCAUUCAUCUGUCAAUUGGCUAUUAUGAGUAGAACUGCAAUGUGUGUAGGGGUGCAUGUAUCUUUUUCAAGGCAAGUUUUGUCCAGAUGUAUGCCCAUGAGUGAGAUUGCUGGGUCAUAGGGUAGUUCUGACUAAAAGCCAAUGAAGUGAAAUAAAACAGGCAAGUGUGGGAGUUCCCGUCGNUUUGUCCAGAUGUAUGCCCAUGAGUGAGAUUGCUGGGUCACAGGGUAGUUCUGACUAAAAGCCAAUGAAGUGAAAUAAACAGGCAAGUGUGGGAGUUCCAAUCGUGGUGCAGUUGGAUUCGUUUCGGCUGUGCCACUGUUGGAAACUCCCCAUCCACUUCUUUAAUGUUCAAACAACCCAGUGUGCUUCCCGGCUCUGCAGAAUGAGGGUUUGGAUCUAUCCAUGCCACACCCAGCCACCUCUCAGGAGACCAGCUGGCUUUCUUGUGCAGACUGAAGCCUGGUUCUGAGGCGCCCACCCACCUCACUGUGCGCACUUGACCACUUUGGUCUCCUCCUCCUUGGCCACCAUUUUCCCCCCUAGGAAUUCAUUCCUUUCCUUUUAAAUUCACAACAUGAAGAACCUGUGCCCUCUCUUUUCUGCACGAGCAGGUU
rnacentral:lncRNA from 1 species